rnacentral:rRNA from 1 species
GUAGGUGGCAAGCGUUGUCCGGAAUUAUUGGGCGUAAAGCACGCGCAGGCGGUCCUUUAAGUCUGAUGUGAAAGCCCACGGGCUCAACCGUGGAGGGUCAUUGGAAACUGGGGGACUUGAGUACAGAAGAGGAAAGCGGAAUUCCACGUGUAGCGGUGAAAUGCGUAGAGAUGUGGAGGAACACCAGUGGCGAAGGCGGCUUUCUGGUCUGUAACUGACGCUGAGGCGCGAAAGCGUGGGGAGCAAACAGGAUUAGAUACCCUGGUAGUCCACGCCGUAAACGAUGAGUGCUAAGUGUUAGGGGGUUUCCGCCCCUUAGUGCUGCAGCUAACGCAUUAAGCACUCCGCCUGGGGAGUACGGCCGCAAAGGCUG